AAUACAUUUUUACAAUACUGUGAACAAACCAGAGUGUAUAAAACAUGUAAUAUAUUAUAAUAUUUAGCAAUGAAUGUUUUAUCAUGGAAUAUUGCUUUUUAAUAUAAUAUCGAUGGAGAUAGUUGGAGUUAAGAGUACUGAUAGGCGAGCGGUGAAAUGCAUUGACCCUAUUAAGACUAACAAAAGCGAAAGCACUUAACUAGAUUAUUCUCUUUGUAUUAUUACAAUGAAGAGCGAAGGUUGGGGGAACAAAGAGGAUCAGAUACCCUCGUAGUCCUAUUUUUACAUCAAACUAUGGGAUUUCAAUCACACUUAUGUUCUACAAUAUUUUUUAUUAUAUAUAAUUGAGUACUUAAUUGUUUACUCUUAUAUUUAAUAUAAUUAUUUUUAUAAUUCAUUAUAUGUACUUUGAGCUCAUAUAAUAAUAUAGGUGAGAUGUAAGCAUUAUAGGAGACUAAUAUAUAAGUAAUGUUAUAUUAUUAUGAUCCUUAUUUAUAAAAAUGUAAUGUGAUG
rnacentral:rRNA from 1 species